AUUGAACGCUGGCGGUAUGCCUUACACAUGCAAGUCGAACGGCAGCGCGGGAGGAAUCCUGGCGGCGAGUGGCGAACGGGUGAGUAAUAUAUCGGAACGUGCCCAGUAGGGGGGGAUAGCCCGGCGAAAGCCGGAUUAAUACCGCAUACGACCUACGGGUGGAAGGGGGGGAUCGCAAGACCUCCCGCUAUUGGAGCGGCGGAGAUCAGAUUAGGUAGUUGGUGGGGUAAAGGCCUACCAAGCACCCGAUCUGUAGUUGGUCUGAGAGGACGACCAGCCACACUGGGACUGAGACACGGCCCAGACUCCUACGGGGGGCAGCAGUGGGGAAUUUUGGACAAUGGGCGCAAGCCUGAUCCAGCAAUGCCGCGUGCAGGAAGAAGGCCUUCGGGUUGUAAACUGCUUUUGUCAGGGAAGAAAUCCUCUAGGCUAAUACCUUGGGGGGAUGACGGUACCUGAAGAAUAAGCACCGGCUAACUACGUGCCAGCCGCCGCCGUAAUAC
rnacentral:rRNA from 1 species